rnacentral:RNase_P_RNA from 1 species
UCGGCAUGGUCAGGGUGAAACGGUGGGGUAAGAGCCCACCGCGGGACUGGCAACAGGACCGGCACGGCAAGCCCCACCAGGAGCAAUGCCGAAUAGGGACCUCGCGCGGGGUGAUCGGUUCGCCGAUAUCACCGCAGGGCAGGCUUUGACCCAGAGGUCCGGGUUGGCAGCUAGAGGGGUCGUGGUAACACGGUCCCAAGAUGAAUGAUCAUCCAGAGGGGGCAACCCCUUGGACAGAAUCCGGCUUACAGGCCCUCCGCGCGC